UCGGCUGUGGUGUAACGGGUAACACAUUGCUUCUUUAUAGCGAAGCUGGGCGUUCGAGUCGCUCUGGUCGGC
rfam:Tulasnella calospora MTT 4182 unplaced genomic scaffold scaffold_158, whole genome shotgun sequence.